GUAGGGGGCAAGCGUUAUCCGGAUUUACUGGGUGUAAAGGGUGCGUAGACGGCGAGGCAAGUCUGAUGUGAAAGCCUGGGGCUUAACCCCGGAACUGCAUUGGAAACUGCUUUGCUGGAGUGCCGGAGAGGUAAGCGGAAUUCCUAGUGUAGCGGUGAAAUGCGUAGAUAUUAGGAGGAACACCAGUGGCGAAGGCGGCUUACUGGACGGUAACUGACGUUGAGGCUCGAAAGCGUGGGGAGCAAACAGGAUUAGAUACCCUGGUAGUCCACGCGGUAAACGAUGAAUGCUAGGUGUUGGGGAGCAGAGCUCUUCGGUGCCGCCGCAAACGCAUUAAGCAUUCCACCUGGGGAGUACGUUCGCAAGAAUG
rnacentral:rRNA from 1 species